UGGGGAAUAUUGGACAAUGGGGGAAACCCUGAUCCAGCAAUGCCGCGUGUGCGAUGAAGGCCUGCGGGUUGUAAAGCACUUUCGGCGGGGAAAAAAUACUCGUAGCUAAUAAUUACGAGGGUUGAUGUUACCCGCAUAAGAAGCACCGGCUAACUCUGUGCCAGCAGCCGCGGUAAUACAGAGGGUGCAAGCGUUAAUCGGAGUUACUGGGCGUAAAGCGUGCGUAGGCGGAUAUCUAAGUCGGAUGUGAAAUCCUUGGGCUUAACCUGAGAAUUGCAUUCGAUACUGGGUGUCUAGAGUAUGGUAGAGGAAAGUGGAAUUCCCGGUGUAGCGGUAAAAUGCGUAGAGAUCGGGAGGAACACCAGUGGCGAAGGCGGCUUUCUGGUCCAAUACUGACGCUGAGGCACGAAAGCGUGGGGAGCAAACAGGAUUAGAUACCCGCGUAGUCCCUGAGCGGGCUGGCA
rnacentral:rRNA from 1 species